UACCGAGGGGGCGAGCGUUAUUCGGAAUUAUUGGGCGUAAAGGGCGCGUAGGCGGCUUGACAAGUCCAAGGUGAAAUCCCCUCGGCUCAACCGAGGAACUGCCUUGGAAACUGUCUGGCUUGAGGCCGGGAGAGGGUAGUGGAAUUCCCAGUGUAGCGGUGAAAUGCGUAGAUAUUGGGAGGAACACCGGUGGCGAAGGCGGCUACCUGGACCGGAUCUGACGCUGAUGCGCGAAAGCGUGGGGAGCAAACAGG
rnacentral:rRNA from 1 species